GUGUGGCGGAUUUUUGCUUUGGCGCGGCGGGAGCAGAUGCUCCGAUCGCAUUGUGGAGUUGGAUCCUCGAGUGGUAGUCCAUGUACGAUAGCGCAAGGGCAGUUUUACGGUACCCGUAAUACUAAGGUGAGCGUCGCCGCUUAUUUUUUUUUUACCUUGAUCAGUUAUUUUUCUCUCGUUUUAACAUUCCAGAAGGGUAAUCCUACCUCACUUGAUUGGGUAAGUGGAUGUACAAUCGCAUUGUCUGGGUUCAACUCCUCACGGAUGAAAAUUUAGACUCUUAUUUAUACUGUAGGGCUCUUCUUUACAGUUUUCUUUCAAAAAAAAUUAACAUUUGAGUGGUGGUGCCGCGCUCGGACUUAAUUAGUUCAACUAGGUUAUAGUUAAUCGAUAUAUGUAAGUGUUUUCUACCCAAGUUUUGUUAUUAAAUUGAACCAAUUCUACUUUUUUACUAUCCUUCGAAGCCGUUGACAAGAGGGCUGGGCGGAGAUAUAGGCUAAGCAAGUUAUUAUCCUGAUAUAUCUCAAACCUAGAUAGUCACAUAUAUUUUUUUUUCAAAAGGAGGGACAAUCCCUGGCCUCGGAUAGUCGGAUAUGGUGGUGGUCACAUAUCAACUUAUCUCAUAUCCUGUCAUCUAUAUCAUAUUCUUAUGAAUCAUAAUUGAAGACAAUUGGUGCCAGAUAUCUAUUUCUCCAAACUAUAUGUACUCCAGAAGCUUUCGGUCGGACGCAGUAGCCGGUAAACAAACAUAC
rnacentral:lncRNA from 1 species